rnacentral:lncRNA from 1 species
CAUGCUCCCAGGGACGAAGCGACAAUACACGGACAGGAAAAAGCCAAACUUUGAUUCGAAUGCAACCUUUCACCUACACGUUAAAAGCCGGAGGCUCCCCGACGAGCGAACGAGAAAACAGGUACUGAAACGGUCGCAGAGCUGUACCGGGUUUGCUGAAAACUGCAUCCAACUCACAGAAAAGCAAAGACACGCAUGGGCUGUUUUUUUGGACGAUCGGCAGCUUGUGCUGGCCCGUCAACAAGAAUGUAUGCGGAAAAUCCUGUUCGUUCGUGAAAAGAGAUGAAUGGCAAGAGAAACAUCUAGGAUCCGUGGAUGCCCACACCUUGCGGUUGCCGUUCUCUCCUGAGCAGCUGCAUGGAUAUGUGUAUGGUAUACAAACGAAUUGAUAUGU